rnacentral:lncRNA from 1 species
AUGAAUGGAGGACCGACCGACCCGGGUUUUAAUGAGCGUUGGCGGGUCCUGGAGUGCCUGUCAAGGGCGCUAGCGCAUACCCCGGGCCUAACAGAACGCAGCAGCGAGGGACAACCCGCCCAUACAGCCAGCGGGGAGGAUGGCACUACUGGAAAAGACCGUCCGGCGAAAACGCCGCAGGCGCGAAGCGUGGUAGGCCUGUGUCGGGGGAGCAUAGCAUAG